rnacentral:rRNA from 1 species
UACGGAGGGUGCGAGCGUUGUCCGGAUUUAUUGGGUUUAAAGGGUGCGUAGGCGGCCUAUUAAGUCCGGGGUGAAAGCCCGUUGCUCAACAACGGAACUGCCAUGGAUACUGGCGGGCUUGAGUAAGGGCGAGGUUGGCGGAAUGGACCGAGUAGCGGUGAAAUGCAUAGAUACCGUCCAGAACCCCGAUUGCGAAGGCAGCUGACUAGGCCGUAACUGACGCUGAGGCACGAAAGCGUGGGGAGCGAACAGG